UCUGGCCUCCCUGAUUGGGGGUUUGUGUCUCUGAGGUGAAGGGAAGAUUAGAGGAAGAGAAAUGUGAAAUAACCAAGAUGUGUCCUCUGGUGUGUGGCUAAAAUAAUAGCCCAAAUGUUCACACAAUCAUUAUGAAAUGCUACGUGCGAGUCUCAUAGACACCGGCAGUGAUAAGCAGACUUCAGCUUUGUGGAAUGUACUGUUCUUUUUGCUUUGUUUUAUUUUUUACAAGAUCUUGAGAACCUCCAACCAGGAGAUUGCAUGAGUCUUGCAUGAAAUAAUUUGUUUCAGGUGCCAAGACUGAAAAGAGCUCCAAGCACUUCUGCACAAGAAUCCACUAUGUCUUAUGCUGCUAUUAUUAUUAUGAAGAGAAAGAGAAAUCACCUACAAAUCAUCCAGAUAUCUAUAUUAAAUUGAAAGCUGCCCUCUACCUAUCUCUGGCUGUGUCCAGAAGAACUUUAAAUGUAUAAUGCAUGUGGCUAAUGACCACAUUUUUAUGGAGCCUCUGGAUGACACUCUAUUAACUGAAUCGGGAUAAUCCAUUUAAGUAUGAAGACCCAAAAUAGAACUGUCAGUCUCUCAAAGCAUAGAUGUAUUACUACUAAGCUUAAUUCAGUGAGACUUUGGUAGGCAUGGCUUUACAUCAGCAGUAAUGGUAAUCUUUUCUCUUUGCCUCUGCUCAUCUCAUAUUGACUCCCUCGCCAUCACCUUACUGUAAGAGAGAAAUACUUCUCCAGUGAUUUGUGUGUAUCCAUAGAUAUGCAGGAAGCUAUUUUCUUUCAAGAUAAGCCACACACUAUGCAAAGCAUAGAAAAGGAGUAAGAAAUAGCAAGCAAUGAAAUUAAAGGCAUUAAACAAGAAAAAGCAAAGGAAAUAUAGCUAAAUAUACUUUAGACAUAUAUUGUUUCCUAUACCUCUCCAUACCUUUCUAUUCUUACUAGCUAUCUUUGCUUCUACCUUAUCCGCACAGCUACAUAUAUUGUUCUUCUUACCUCUCUCUUUUUCAGUAUCUUCACAACCCCAGCCAACCACAACUUCCUUGGUCUUCUCCUUCCUCUCCUCUAUUCACUCUUCCUCUAUGUAUUUGUUUUGCAAUUAGAUUUUCACUCAUAGUCUUUAUAAGACCAAACUACAUCAACAUACUUAUUUUGUCCUGGUCACUCAGUUGUAUUCAAUUCACAUUCAUUCAGCGCCCAUUCAUUCUUGACCCUACGUCUUCAUGUUCUACCACACACAUUUCUUAAGUAACCCAUUCUACCCUAUCCAACUUACAUUUAUGUUAAUCUGGAUGUAGCAAACUCUCACAACUGCAGAAGUGCGCAGAUUUUAGAUCCAAAGCAGCAAAAGGUAACUAUUGGCAGCUCUUUUUCUAGGCUUACAUGGUAGCCAUAUGAGUACAGGAACUCUGAAAAUCUCCAGAACUCAGAUAAGCAUUUUUCUUGACCCUGUGCAACUACCAUACAAAUUCAAGAAAAGAUGUAAUUCCUUAAGGAGCCACCAACACCUACAGCAAGGAUGCCCUUGUAGGGUCUGAAGCAUCUUUACUCCUAUGGAUGUAACCCUUUACAUCUCUAUUUGUAACAAAAUGGGCAGAAGCACACUCUUACACACUGUCAUUGUAGCUUCUUUCAUUUAACAUUUAUUUCUUGCAACAGACCACAUAUUAUUCACUAUCAGCAUUUACACAUUUUAAAAUUUCUCCAUCUAUUUCCCCAUGUUUACUAAAUAUUCUACUGAGAUACACAAAUUCAACAGCUUGUUCUGGGUUGGGUUUUUUUGGUUUUUUUGUUUUGUUUUGGUCAUUUAUAUAUAAUUUACAAUUGUUUGCUUCAUUUUUCCUGGCCAAUAUAAAUUACAGUCUUUGUUACAUUUAAUUUUCAGAUCCAUUCCCCUUAUUGCAUGAUAUAAUCUAUCUAAUAUCUACUGCAAAUCAUUUGGGUUUCCAGGCAACCACAUAGUAUCAUCUGUGUUUAAAAGUAAACAUUUAUAUCCCCAACCAUCAUGCUUCUACCAUUACCACAAACAUUCUUUAUGUAUUUAUCCAGAAAUAUAAAACAAUCAAGGAAAUAUCAAAUACUCUUGCCUUACUCCUUGCUUACUCAGAAGCAUUCAUUAAGCAUUCAAUUUAUUCUCACACAAGCUGUAUAUGUACUGCUUUUAUCACAUUCAGCAACUAGCCUUCAACACUGAAGAAGUAUUAGAAGAUAAUUAAUCUGCCAAUAGAAUGAAUAGAAAAUGGUCAUAAGGAAAGGGAAUGUGGAAGUUGCUUAGAACAGAGUAAAAAGAAUUACAGUUAUACUAAUGGCAAGUAUAAAAAAGGAUGCUUGGUAGAAUGAUGAUGUGAUGAAGCUAUAGAUGAGAGGAAAAUGCAUAUAAGACAACAGUGCUACAAUAAAUGAGGAUGAGAGCAAUCUAUUAUAUAUUGAGGAAAAGAUAGUUGCAAAGAAUGUAGUGAGAGAGGCACAAAGAUCCAAAGUAGUUCUUUGAGUUAUGAUUUGUUUGUUCUGAAAAUAAGAAAGAUAGAAUAAGAUAGGCCAGAAAUAGCCAGAGACAGCAUUCCAAGGCCCACCCUUAUUUUCCCUCUGAUGGAAAGAGAUCAGCAGCAGGUGUCAGGAUCUAGUGAAGAUCUCAGGGUGAAAUAUAAUUCU